AGGACGAACGCUGGCGGCGCGCCUAACACAUGCAAGUCGAACGGAGCUUAGAGAGCUUGCUUUUUAAGCUUAGUGGCGAACGGGUGAGUAACGCGUGAGUAACCUGCCCUAGAGUGGGGGACAACAGUUGGAAACGACUGCUAAUACCGCAUAAGCCCACGGUACCGCAUGGUACUGAGGGAAAAGGAUUUAUUCGCUUUAGGAUGGACUCGCGUCCAAUUAGCUAGUUGGUGAGGUAACGGCCCACCAAGGCGACGAUUGGUAGCCGGACUGAGAGGUUGAACGGCCACAUUGGGACUGAGACACGGCCCAGACUCCUACGGGAGGCAGCAGUGGGGGAUAUUGCACAAUGGGGGAAACCCUGAUGCAGCGACGCCGCGUGGAGGAAGAAGGUUUUCGGAUUGUAAACUCCUGUCGCUAGGGACGAUAAUGACGGUACCUAACAAGAAAGCACCGGCUAACUACGUG
rnacentral:rRNA from 1 species